UACGUAGGGGGCAAGCGUUGUCCGGAUUUAUUGGGCGUAAAGAGCGUGUAGGCGGUUUGGUAGGUCCGCUGUGAAAACUCGAGGCUCAACCUCGAGACGCCGGUGGAAACCAUCAGACUAGAGUCCGGAAGAGGAGAGUGGAAUUCCUGGUGGUAGCGGUGAAAUGCGCAGAUAUCAGGAAGAACACCCGUGGCUAAGGCGGCUCUCUAGUACGGUACUGACGCUGAGACGCGAAAGCGUGGGGAGCGAACAGG
rnacentral:rRNA from 1 species